GAAUAUUGGUCAAUGGGCGCAAGCCUGAACCAGCCAUGCCGCGUGCAGGAAGACGGUCCUAUGGAUUGUAAACUGCUUUUAUUCGAGAAUAAACCCCCUGUCGUGCAUAGGGGCUGAAGGUACCGAAUGAAUAAGCACCGGCUAACUCCGUGCCAGCAGCCGCGGUAAUACGGAGGGUGCAAGCGUUAUCCGGAAUCAUUGGGUUUAAAGGGUCCGCAGGCGGACAUAUAAGUCAGCGGUGAAAUCCCAUCGCUUAACGAUGGAACUGCCAUUGAUACUGUAUGUCUUGAAUGUGGUCGAAGUGGGCGGAAUAUGUCAUGUAGCGGUGAAAUGCUUAGAUAUGACAUAGAACACCGAUAGCGAAGGCAGCUCACUAGGCCAUAAUUGACGCUCAUGGACGAAAGCGUGGGGAGCAAACAGG
rnacentral:rRNA from 1 species